rnacentral:rRNA from 1 species
GCUUAACGCGAAGAACCUUACCUACUCUUGACAUCCAGAGAACUUAGCAGAGAUGCUUUGGUGCCUUCGGGAACUCUGAGACAGGUGCUGCAUGGCUGUCGUCAGCUCGUGUUGUGAAAUGUUGGGUUAAGUCCCGCAACGAGCGCAACCCUUAUCCUUUGUUGCCAGCGAUUCGGUCGGGAACUCAAAGGAGACUGCCAGUGAUAAACUGGAGGAAGGUGGGGAUGACGUCAAGUCAUCAUGGCCCUUACGAGUAGGGCUACACACGUGCUACAAUGGCAUAUACAAAGAGAAGCGACCUCGCGGGAGCAAGCGGACCUCAUAAAGUAUGUCGUAGUCCGGAUUGGAGUCUGCAACUCGACUCCAUGAAGUCGGAAUCGCUAGUAAUCGUGGAUCAGAAUGCCACGGUGAAUACGUUCCCG